rnacentral:lncRNA from 1 species
CUUCUUCUUCUUCUUCUUCUGCUUCUUCACUUUCUUCUUCUUCUUCUCCUCAGGCUUCCUUCUGACACUGACACACCCACUUCUUCUCAUUUUAAUUUGUUUUUCUUUUUUUAAUAUUAUUAAUUAAAUACACACACCACGUGAUCCAACCCCUCCACACGAAGGGAGCAGCUUCCAAGAUGUACGGCUGUGAUUCACUGACACUCAUAUAUAACUACACUACUACUACUUCUUUUGUUCUUUUCUUUUCUUUUCUUUUCUUUUCUUUUUUUCUUAAAAAACUUAACUAAUUUGGUAUAAUAUUAUAAUUAUUUCUCUUAUAACAAUCUAAUUAAAUUGUUUAUCCAUUUCUCUUCUGUUUCAAAAUGGAUUUGGAAUGCUCUCUGUAAUUUGAACACUUCAAAAACUGGAUGUUUUCUUCACUUCUUUCCUUCUUGACAUGGUCAACUAUCUAACAAAACACCACCCUCACACUUCUCUUUUCUUUUCUCAAUAUAAACUACAAACAAAAUUGGGGGCAAUUCUAAUUCUUUUAAUGUGACCUACAAUAAUCGAGCGUCAGGAAAUCAUUAUUUCCAUACCAAAUUGCUCUCUGCUUCCACACAUCUACAGUCUCAUGGCAAAGAUUUUUCAUCUACAACUAUUAUGCAACAUGUCUUUUAAAAAUUUGCUUGACCGUGAAUGUUGAAAAUACACAAACUAAGGUCAUGGAAUUAGCACAAAUGGUUUAAAAUUAAAGAAGAAGAAAAAAAAGAGGGUUUUUAAUAAGAAUUAUUAAAUUUGAGUGAAGGAAAUCAAGGUGGGAAAUGAGGUUGGCUAGGUUAAGCAAUUAAUUCACGCCUUUCUGACAAUGAUCCUGAUUAUUGGCGAUGAAGACCUCUGUACCACAGACAUUUCCAUUUGAAUUCCAAUUUUGAACCCAACAUUUCUUUUUCCUUUAACUUUAUUCAUAUUUAAAUAUUCACAAACUAUUUUUCUAAUUCUUUCAAUAAUGCUUAUAUUAAAAUAUAAAUCUAUUAUUAUAAAUAUUUACUGUCUUUUUGUGUCUGUCACUUUAUGCAUCAUUUUAUUGUUAUUAGUUUUCUCAUUAUUUCUGUGAAAAAGUACAAAUAUUAUGCUACUUUUCUUUCUAGCUUAAAUUAUGAACUAUGGUCGUUUUUGACCAAUUUCAUCAACUUUUUGUUUCAAAAAAAAAAAAAAAAAAAAA